rnacentral:rRNA from 1 species
CACGCCGUAACGAUGGGCACUAGGUGUGGGGGGUAUUGACCCCCUCCGUGCCGAAGCUAACGCAAUAAGUGCCCCGCCUGGGGAGUACGGCCGCAAGGCUAAAACUCAAAGGAAUUGACGGGGGCCCGCACAAGCAGCGGAGCGUGUGGUUUAAUUCGACGCGACGCGAAGAACCUUACCAAGGCUUGACAUGCUGGUAGUACCGAUCCGAAAGGUGAGGGACCCUUCGGGGAGCC